ACCAAGGAGUCUAGCAUGUGCGCGAGUCAUUGGGAAUGCACUAAACCUAAAGGCGAAAUGAAAGUGAAUGUCCGCCUCGCGCGGACAGAGGGAGGAUGGGCCGACCCUAGGGCGGCUCCGCACUCCCGGGGCGUCUCGUUCUCAUCGCGAGAUGAGGCGCACCCAGAGCGUACACGCUGGGACCCGAAAGAUGGUGAACUAUGCCUGGUCAGGACGAAGUCAGGGGAAACCCUGAUGGAGGUCCGUAGCGAUUCUGACGUGCAAAUCGAUCGUCGGAACUGGGUAUAGGGGCGAAAGACUAAUCGAACCAUCUAGUAGCUGGUUCCCUCCGAAGUUUCCCUCAGGAUAGCUGGCGCUCGCCGCGUGCGAGUCUCAUCCGGUAAAGCGAAUGAUUAGAGGCAUUGGGGUCGAAACGGCCUCAACCUAUUCUCAAACUUUAAAUGGGUGAGAUCUCCGGCUUGCUCGAACACGUGAAGCCGCGAGAUUUCGGAUCAGAGUGCCAAGUGGGCCACUUUUGGUAAGCAGAACUGGCGCUGUGGGAUGAACCAAACGCAGAGUUAAAGCGCCCAAAUCGACGCUUAUGGGAUACCAUGAAAGGCGUUGGUAACUUAAGACAGCAGG
rnacentral:rRNA from 1 species